GACGAACGCUGGCGGCGUGCUUAACACAUGCAAGUCGAACGGAAAGGCCCUGCUUUUGUGGGGUGCUCGAGUGGCGAACGGGUGAGUAACACGUGAGUAACCUGACCUAGACUUUGGGAUAACUUCAGGAAACUGGGGCUAAUACCGGAUAGGAGCUGCUGCUGCAGGGUGGGGGGUGGAAAGUUUCGGCGGUUGGGGAUGGACUAGCGGCUGAUCAGCUUGUUGGUGGGGUAGUGGCUGACCAAGGCUUUGACGGGUAGGCGGCCUGAGAGGGUGACCGGCCACAUUGGUACUGAGAUACGGCCCAGACUCCUACGGGAGGCAGCAGUGGGGAAUAUUGCACAAUGGUCGGAAGCCUGAUGCAGCAACGCCGCGUUCGGGAUGACGGCCUUCGGGUUGUAAACCGCUUUCGCCUGUGACGAAGCGUGAGUGACGGUAAUGGGUAAAGAAGCACCGGCUAACUACGUG
rnacentral:rRNA from 1 species